GUGAACUAGGCCCGACAGAACAACAAAAAAAAUGUGCAAAAUGACAUAAAAAUCACAGUCCUGGCUACAUCUGGGUCGGAGUUCUGCUCGAAUAGUGCAUGAUUUUUCCGUCAGACUGUUGUGGUUGGACAGACUGUUCGCACUUUUUAUGACUUUGAUUGCACAAUUACUUCAGCAUGACAUCAACAUUUCUUUCCAUUAGUCUGCUUGUUGUUGUCACUGUGAAUAUGCAGAAAUGUCAACCUCUUAGAUAAAAGCCUUGGUACACCCACAGACGGGCAGGUGACAUUUCUACUGGCCAUGACGUACUCCUCUCGGUGGCAUUAAGCGGUCAACUGCGUGCACAAAAGCCUGGAACAUCCCCGAAUGUAACCAUUAGUACCUACCCGCCUUAACAUUCAGCUGGACCGCCGCCACCAGCUGAGCCGGCCAUUGCUAUUAGUGGCAACUAAAGGUCUGAUCCUACAACUUAUCGGCAAUUGUGCUCUUGUCAACAGCCAAACAUGAUCUUGUAAGAAAAGUCUGGUCUUCGUCGGGUCCGAGUCUGCAGUUGCACCCGGCUGUAGCGCAGACGGACUUCCCACGCCUGUAGCGUCUCCUUGCUGUCGAAACCCAGCAGAGCCGCCUGGGUCAGGCACAGAAUGG